GAUGAAUAACGUAGCGAAAUGCGAUAAGUAAUGUGAAUUGCAGAAUUCAGUGAAUCAUCGAAUCUUUGAACGCACAUUGCGCCCGUUAGCAUUCUAGCGGGCAUGCCUGUCCGAGCGUCAUUUCAACCCUCAGGGUCCCCGUUCCGGCGGGGAACCUGGUGUUGGGGAUCGGCCCGCCCCGUGCGGCGCCGUCCCCCAAAUUCAGUGGCGGUCUCGCUGCAGCCUCCCCUGCGUAGUAGUUACAACCUCGCAUCGGAGCUCAGCGCGGCCACGCCGUAAAACCCCCGACUUUCUGAACGUUGACCUCGGAUCAGGUAGGAAUACCCGCUGAACUUAAGCAUAUCAAUAAGCGGAGGA
rnacentral:misc_RNA from 1 species